rnacentral:rRNA from 1 species
AAAACAUCGCUCUUUGUAAUUAAAUAAUAAAGAGUAGGACCUGCCCAGUGAUAAUAUUAAACGGCCGCGGUACUCUGACCGUGCAAAGGUAGCAUAAUCAUUUGCCCUAUAAUUGAGGGCUAGUAUGAAUGGUUUGACAAGAAAGAUCCUGUCUCCAUAAAAAUUUAUAUAAUUUAAUUUUUAGGUGAAGAAGCCUAAAUUCAAUUGAAAGACAAGAAGACCCUAUCGAGCUUUAAAUGAAUAUUUUAAAAAAUGUAAUUUAAAUCAAUUUUGAAAUCAGAUUUUAGUUGGGGCGACUGAGGAACAAAAGAAGCUUCCUUAAUUUAUAAAUACUUAUAAGUUUUGAUCCAAAAUAGUUUGAUUAAUAGAAUUAGUUACCGUAGGGAUAACAGCAUAAUCUUUUUUAAGAGUUCUUAUCGAAAAAAAGGUUUGUGACCUCGAUGUUGGACUAGGAUAUCCUAAAAGAUGCAGAAGUCUUUAAUGGUUGGUCUGUUCGACCACUAAUAUCCUACGUGAU